AUCGUCUCCCCUCCUACAACUUUCUUGCGGGGAGAUCGCGUUACGUAUAAAUCAUCGACGGAAGUAAGAUAUAGUGGCCGUUCGUUAAAAUUUCGUUUUUGAUAAACUAGUUUCCGGACAGGUCUGCCUUCACGAAUUGUGAGUUUCCUUUAUUCCGUUAGUUUUCUUUAACUUUUUGCAGGAUUAGUGUCUAAACUCGGCAGAGAAAUCUAUCGUUGUAAUAGAUCACUCGAGAAGGGGAGAGAAAAGAAAUUUCGAAGAUAUUUAUAAGUAUGUACACGUAUAGUGUGUGUUUGAGAAAUGAGCAGGUAUGGUACAUAGUGGGGGUGUUUAAGAGCAACUAUCUGAUUUCGAUCAAACUAUAAUUAUUGCUUUAUUCAACUAUAUAUUUUCCUGUUGUAUACAAUAAAAUUGAUAUAUUACAAUUAACAAUAUUUUUUACAUAAUACGAUAAUCCCAAAAUAUUUCAAUGAUACGAACCUUUUUCUUUCUAAUCUAACCUUGGGGUCUAUCAUUAUGUGGUCAUACAUGUAUAUCAUUGAUAUUACCAUUAAUCAUACUCGAGGCAGCAAAUUCUACUAGUAAUUUCUAUUGCGAACUACAACUACCUGUUUAGUUUAUUGCGUCUCAUGCUAGGCUCGCGUUUUUUCAGCCGAGCUGUCACUUCGUGUCUAGAAUUUAUCAAACUAAUCCGAUAAAACGAUAGAAAUCGAGAGCAACCAGGGCAAAUUAGAACGCUGUCUCGGGCGUGCAGACAUUAACUAAUCUUAAGGCACUCUUUUACUAAUUCAUAUACACAUAAUACGAGGUUUCUUAAAAUAUAUUUUUAUUUUUAUUUUUAUUUUAUUUAUAUUUUAUUUUUUCAUGAUAAAAUCGCAUUUCUCUAUAGUCAUAACCAUCACAUUGUUAAUAACGCAAGUAUGAAACAAAUAUAGCAGCGAAAGGAAAAGAAAGCUCACAGUCCAUCACAAACAUCAGGCAGUCAUAAGUCAUAAUUGACCAGCUUUCACCAACGUUCCACUCGAACAAUUAAUUAAUCAUACCUCUAUAUGUUUUCACAUCACGAUUGAAAACUUGUAAUUGCUCAUAACAUGAUUAGAGUAGAGAGUGUAGAGAGUAGAGUAUGGAAUCAGAAUUCCUUGUCUACACAUCUAUUUAUGUAUAGCCCAUAAGAGAGUGUAACUUUUUAAGAUGAAACAUAAAAAUUAAUGUCGCGUGGUGAGAAGAACUUAGAAGUCGAUGGCGAUUACAUAAAUAAAUAACAUAAAAGUUAUAAAAAAGAAGUAGAACAGUAAUUUCUUUUAAAACAUAUUCUAUUAUAUUAUUCUUAUAGUACAAGAACCACAUGAACAUUAUGGGACCAGCUAAUUCAAUGUAUCAUCUAAUGGUCGUAGGAAUAAUGUUAACAUUUUAAUUGAAAUUAAAAAGUAGCAAGCUAGUUUCUAAUAAAAGAGCAUCUAACUAUCUUUCGAAAUAUUAUAAUCAGGCAUUAUGAAAGAGAACUUCAGUCAUGCGAAAGAAGUAUAUAAGAAAACAUUAAAUUAAAAACUUUCUUGCUCUUCUGACGUCAGACACUGUCAACGACUUCUCCACUAUGCCUCCAGUACAUAAACAUGAAAUACACGUAUGUAAAUAAAGCGUUUUUAAUACAUAUGCAUAAUCGUUCUAUGUACACACCCUGCGAUCUCCAGCUCUACGUAUACAAGGCAGAAAUAUUCGCCCUUCUGCAUCCGCAAAUAUACGUUCGCGUGGAUCUAUUAGUUCACGGCUCUGGCCGCGCAUAUGCAUUCGCGUAUUCGCGUAUGCUUCGUGUGAUUUUCGCACGCGGUCUGUCGUACAGUAACGCUAGAACACUUUGAACUCCUAGUUCCGUCGCAGAUCUUCUCAGAAUUAGAUCGAUAUAUCCUUCGGACAUAAACGAUCGAACGAUGUUCAAACGAAUUCUACAGGGAGACUUAACCUAAAAUCACUGAACGAUCGAUGGUUUCCGCGGAAAGUAAACUAUGAAGAAAAUUAAUGGGGGUAGUUGGUAUCACUGAUAACAAAGUACAGUUAUAGUUAAUUCUAAGAAUGUAAACCUGUCAAUAUUUUUAUCUAAUAUCUACAAUUACAUUGUGAUAAAUGGAGAAUUGCUUUAGAAAGUUUUUAAAUAUAAAAAGUGGAUUCUUUGAUAAAAAAUAUUUUUGUUUGGUUGUUAAUUAAUAAAUAAUAAACACAAAAAAUAAUGCAAGUUUACAAUAAAGUUUGCUAAGUCUAUCUAGGUGGCGCCACGUACAAGCCCACGCGUAUGCAAUGAUCUUUCGAUACCGAUUUACUCGAAAACGAAGCUUUCUAUAAAAUAGUACUACUCUACAUCUUCGACUUAUUUUUUUAUAUAGUAUAACCUCUCACUUCUCCAUGAUUCCCUCUAACACGUACAAAUAAGGGAAUGUAAAUAAACUCUCUAAAAGAGCAAUCCUUUAGCGAUUAAUCUAAUAAGUAGCGAAAUAAAAUUGACGAUCGCAAAUUCAUUUCAGAUGCAAUUGCAUCACCGAAUUUCCACGUGAACUUAUAAAUAGAACAUGCGUAUAGUGACCCGUUUUAAAAGGAACUGGCCAACAACGAAACGGACGUAAGUUACGAGUUCGCGAAACGUCGUCUAAAAUCGUCGUUAUUGCAGUUGACUGUACGCACACGAGGUAUUAUUCGUCCCACACAAGCCCGGUCGUUACCGCGCCAAUCCUUGCUCGCUGUUUUUGAGCCCGGAUACGUUUCAGCUCUUGCUUGUGCACGUGUUUAUGUAAAUGUUCCCGCGUACACAUCGAGUGACUUAUACCUAUAAGCGCAUCGAAACGUUAUUCACAUUGCACGAACAUUAAGCCCGUCGACGCUACGAAAAGUCGGAAGUUUUUGUGAACGAAAGUUAUCCCUCGAAGGAUCCAGUAGGGGCUCUUUGUGAGAGAGCAGGGCGCACGUGCGAGAUCGAUGGGACCGUCGACAAGGAUUUCGCGAAGCUUCCUCCCCAAGUACUUUAUCCAGUGUUUCAUCUGCCUUCCAGAUUCUUGUUACGGGACUAGGGACUACCGAUACUCUUUCAGAUUCCUCAAUGAAAUGCGGGAUGUUUCGAGAAAACAUACUUGAUCGAUGAGUUAUUAACUAUAAACUGGAAUAAGAAUGCUUAUAUAUGUGUAAUACAAAUAUGAUAGUAAAUUCCCCUAACUACAUAUAUAUUUUUUAAAAGCUAGAAGUUGUUAGAUAGUGUAAAAAAAUGAGGUUAGGUCAUACCAACAUGAAAUUGAUCGUUGCUUGAUUGUAAUGAACAAGAAUAUUUAGAAUAAUUCCAUUAUGAUGCAAAUGGACUUAAUUUUAAAGAAGCAAUCUCAAUAAUCGUCAUCCAAUAAUACAAACGCACUUUCUAGAGACGAUCACAGCACAACAGCAGAAUUUAUUCCCUCAUCCAAAUUCAGCACGUCCGAAUAGAUAGCCCAUAUCAGUAAAUUUGGGUGAGCAACGUGAAUUACGGGACUGUAAAAUGAAUUUAAGCGUGGUACGUGUGGCAAGCACAUGUCGAUAAAUCACUACGCCUAAGUUCGAUCGUGACGCGCGCGAAAUUGAUACCGAACUCGUAAACCUAUUUCUGCUUUUUGCGCUUUUCCGCUUUUUCCAUGAAAAUACUUCGCUCGUAAACCGCGCGAUUAUAAAUAGUUUACUAUUUCAAUGGCAACAAUUAACGAUCGACCAAAGUACGAUGGAAAGAGCGAUUUUCAUCGAACGAUCAACGCCGUGAAAAUGUCAAAGGCAACAUGCAGCAGAGAAAUAUUUAUUUCUCUGACGAUCACCUCAUUAAUCGGAUUUGCAUGAGUGGUAAUCAGGCGUCAAUUAAUAGCUGAAUUAUGCGGCAUUCCUGCACGCCGUUAGAAUUUACCUAUAUUAUACACCGAUCUCGCGUUAUCCACCACCGAUACAAGCCUUAUAGUCUUUAUGUAGCACGCCACCCACACGCGUGGUCAUUAUCGGCGCGCGAACGCGACGCGAUCCAACAUUUUACGGUGCAUACACGUCGACAGAUGGGAAUGUUGGCGCCAUUCUCGCGGCAUUAUGCCUGCACACGUACAGUGGCUCAGGAAAGUAUUCCAACAGUUAUAGAAUCUUUUUAUACAUAUAUAAUGUACUAUACAAAAUAUCGUGAAAUUUGUUUAGGACUAACGUGACUAUGAAUCUCGUGAUUAUAUUGGUCAAGUCUGAACCGAAUCUGAAAAUGAAUACAUAUAAAAGUUACAAAAUACUUACGAGCAUACACGAACGAAAGUUAACAAAGUAUUUGAACAGUUAAUUAUUGAUUGAUUGACUAGUAAAUCAUAAUAUUUAGUAAGAACAUUUGCAGCAUAUUUCUUUUUUACAAAUUGAAAUAGAAUUUUACAAGAUAAGUUAGUCGAUAUUUUUGUUCAUUACUGUACAUUCCUACAUACCAUGGCUGAUAAUGGCGAAGUAAAAUUUCUAAAAUCUUGUCUGCAAUUUGACAACCAUACGUAAUCGCAAUCUCCAUUACGAUCUCGUCGUGAAAGUCGAUGGUGCAUUAGAUAUCAUUGUAUUUUUUCUUAAAAGGGACGGGUUCUAGUAGAAAGUAAACAUUCUGUAUGAAAUUUUGGCAUCAUUAUAAUAAACUUUGAGAAAAUAUUCAGAAGUAUGAAGUUUGCAAUGGACAAUUAUUACUUUACAUUUGGUACCAAUAUCUGUAAUAAAAUACUUUUUAAAAUACUUAAGAUCAUAUAUUCAAUUAAUCAAUUCUAAUAAAAAUAUUUUUUU